CGUAAUGGUGGGAACUCAAGGGAGACUGCCGGUGAUAAACCGGAGGAAGGUGGGGAUGACGUCAAGUCAUCAUGGCCCUUACGGCCAGGGCUACACACGUGCUACAAUGGCGCGUACAGAGGGCUGCAAGCUAGCGAUAGUGAGCGAAUCCCAAAAAGCGCGUCGUAGUCCGGAUCGGAGUCUGCAACUCGACUCCGUGAAGUCGGAAUCGCUAGUAAUCGCAAAUCAGAAUGUUGCGGUGAAUACGUUCCCGGGCCUUGUACACACCGCCCGUCACACCAUGGGAGUGGGUUGCACCAGAAGUAGAUAGCUAA
rnacentral:rRNA from 1 species